rnacentral:rRNA from 1 species
AAGGGUUGGGCUGUUCGCCCAUUAAAGCGGCACGCGAGCUGGGUUUAGAACGUCGUGAGACAGUUCGGUCUCUAUCCGCCGCGCGCGUUAGAAACUUGAGGAAGGCUGUCCCUAGUACGAGAGGACCGGGACGGACGAACCUCUGGUGUGCCAGUUGUUCCGCCAGGGGCACUGCUGGUUGGCUACGUUCGGAAGGGAUAACCGCUGAAAGCAUCUAAGCGGGAAGCCUGUUCCAAGAUGAGGUUUCUCUCCCCCUCGAGGGGUUAAGGCCCCCGGAAGAUGACCGGGUUGAUAGGCCAGAACUGGAAGCGCAGUAAUGUGUGGAGGUGACUGGUACUAAUAGGCCGA